rnacentral:rRNA from 1 species
GAUGAACGCUAGCGGCAGGCUUAACACAUGCAAGUCGAGGGGUAGAGGAAGCUUGCUUCCUUGAGACCGGCGCACGGGUGUGUAACGCGUAUACAAUCUACCUUUUACAGAGGGAUAGCCCCAGAGAAAUUUGGAUUAAUACCUCAUAGUAUUUUCGGAUCGCAUGAUUUGAUUAUUAAAGUUCCAACGGUAAAGAUGAGUAUGCGUCCCAUUAGCUAGAUGGUAAGGUAACGGCUUACCAUGGCAAUGAUGGGUAGGGGUCCUGAGAGGGAGAUCCCCCACACUGGUACUGAGACACGGACCAGACUCCUACGGGAGGCAGCAGUGAGGAAUAUUGGACAAUGGGCGCAAGCCUGAU